rnacentral:rRNA from 1 species
UACGUAGGGUGCGAGCGUUGUCCGGAUUUAUUGGGCGUAAAGAGCUCGUAGGCGGUUUGUCGCGUCGGCCGUGAAAUCUCCACGCUUAACGUGGAGCGUACGGUCGAUACGGGCAGACUUGAGUUCGGUAGGGGAGACUGGAAUUCCUGGUGUAGCGGUGAAAUGCGCAGAUAUCAGGAGGAACACCGGUGGCGAAGGCGGGUCUCUGGGCCGAUGACUGACGCUGAGGAGCGAAAGCGUGGGGAGCGAACAGG